UAGGGAAUCUUCCGCAAUGGGCGAAAGCUUGACGGAGCAACGCCGCGUGAGUGAUGAAGGUCUUCGGAUCGUAAAACUCUGUUAUUAGGGAAGAACAAAUGUGUAAGUAACUAUGCACGUCUUGACGGUACCUAAUCAGAAAGCCACGGCUAACUACGUGCCAGCAGCCGCGGUAAUACGUAGGUGGCAAGCGUUAUCCGGAAUUAUUGGGCGUAAAGCGCGCGUAGGCGGUUUUUUAAGUCUGCUGUGAAAGCCCACGGCUCAACCGUGGAGGGUCAUUGGAAACUGGAAAACUUGAGUGCAGAAGAGGAAAGUGGAAUUCCAUGUGUAGCGGUGAAAUGCGCAGAGAUAUGGAGGAACACCAGUGGCGAAGGCGACUUUCUGGUCUGUAACUGACGCUGAUGUGCGAAAGCGUGGGGAUCAAACAGG
rnacentral:rRNA from 1 species